AAUCAACGCUGGCGGCGUGCCUCAGACAUGCAAGUCGAACGAGAAAGUUUCCUUCGGAGACGAGUACAGUGGCGUCCGGGUGAGUAACACGUGGGUAAUUACCUUGGUGGGAAUAGCAGCCGGAAACGGCUAUUAAUACGCAUAAUGCAGCGGCUCGACAUCGAGACAGUUGUUAAAGCGGGGAUCUGACAAGGACCUCGCGCCUAAAGAGAAGCCUGCGCAGAUUAGCU
rnacentral:rRNA from 1 species